rnacentral:rRNA from 1 species
AACGAACGCUGGCGCCAGGCUUAACACAUGCAAGUCGAACGCGAAACCACCUUCGGGUGGUGGAGAGUGGCAGACGGGUGAGUAACGCGUGGGAACCUACCUAGUGGUACGGAAUAACUCAGGGAAACUUGGGCUAAUACCGUAUGUGCCCGAAAGGGGAAAGAUUCAUCGCCACUAGAUGGGCCCGCGUCGGAUUAGCUUAUUGGUGAGGUAACGGCUCACCAAGGCGACGAUCCGUAGCUGGUCUGAGAGGAUGAUCAGCCACACUGGGACUGGGACACGGCCCAGACUCCUACGGGAGGCAGCAGUGGGGAAUAUUGGACAAUGGGCGCAAGCCUGAUCCAGCCAUGCCGCGUGAGUGAUGAAGGCCCUAGGGUUGUAAAGCUCUUUCGGCGGGGACGAUAAUGACGGUACCCGCAGAAGAAGCCCCGGCUAACUUCGUGCCAGCCGCCGCAGUAA